AAAUGCGAUAAGUAAUGUGAAUUGCAGAAUUCAGUGAAUCAUCGAAUCUUUGAACGCACAUUGCGCCCGCCAGUAUUCUGGCGGGCAUGCCUGUCCGAGCGUCAUUUCAACCAUCAAGCCCCCGGUCUUGUGUUGGGGACCUGCGGCUGCCCGCAGGCCCUGAAAACCAGUGGCGGGCUCGCUGUCACACCGAGCGUAGUAGCAAUCACCUCGCUCAGGGCGUGCUGCGGGUUCCGGCCGUUAAACAGCCUUACAAAACCCAAGGUUGACCUCGGAUCAGGUAGGAAGACCCGCUGAACUUAAGC
rnacentral:misc_RNA from 1 species